GGGCGCGAGCCUCCGCCGGGCGGUUGGGUGGGGGCGGGGCCGCUACCCGACACGCGCCCCGAGGCGGCCGCACGGACGCGUCCGAGCCGUGCGGCCCGGCGCCAUCUUAGCCGCGGGGCGCGGCCCCACGCGACACCGCGCUUCGGGGCCGGGCCCGCACGGGGAGCGGGCGGGGAGCUCGAGUCUUCCGUGCCACGCCGCCUCGGGCUCCGGAAGGACCCGCCUUACGGCGAGCUCGGCGCGGGAACGCUCCCAAGUCUCGCUUGGCGCUGUUCCUCAGCUAAAACGGAACAUCAGCGCUCGGUGCGCUUCAGCUGGCGCGCUCCGCGCCGCUUCUUUGCUCUGAGGAAGGACACGCAAUGCAGCCACCGCAACUCCCACAGGAGCCUUAAAGGGCCCGCGGCCGCGCUGAACGCCGUGCCCGCGCUGUGUAACACGGUUAAUAAAGAACAAAGUUAGCACUCAGCCGUGUUUUCCUCCAGAACCUGCAGGAGCAGAGCCCUUGCGACAAACCUGGUGCCGCACAAACGCAGAGUGCUUUAAAUAACUUGAGCCAUGUUGGCCAUUGCCGUGACUCAGUACCUCCCCGCAGUCCCAGCUGAUGCACAGCGAGGUGGUGUUGCUUACAGCUGCUCACAGCUCCACCAGCAUCUCAAGGGACAAAGGCCGUUCGUUUUCCUUCUGAUGAAGCGCAGAGGAACGUUUCCACUUCGGUGUCAUCUCCCACGUGCUCCUCACGCUUCUGGUCGCCUGAAAACUGAAGGUACUUCUUUGUUUUCAGGCAACCGGUGACACAGUUUCUGAGAUUACAGAAAACUGAUUUGUGCAAACUGAAGGCAAACCUAUGAAAAAAAGAACAGGGCAUCGCUUACACAGAGAUGGCCACACCAAGCCAAGUGCUGUACAAACACUUGCCUUGCAAUGAUUCAGAACUACAAUAAUGUCCCAUUCAGAACGUGAAUGCACCGUAUAGCAGAUACCAACUCAAGUAUUUGAGUUUCAAGAUAGAUGGAAUACAAAAAGGCCUCUAAAACAUACAGCUUUCAUCUUGAUCAGUGGUCCACACGAGAAGAUGAAAAGCAGUUUCUUAUAAAGGACCCAAAACUGUGGCUUGCUUCAUUCAUAUAUUGUCUUCUUUAAAAAAGUUAAAAGAACAAGCUUUCAAUUAAAAAACUGCCCCUUUUCUUCCCCCUUUCCCCCCACAAAAAAUAAAAGGGGGGGGGAGGGAAAGAAAGUAAAAGUUGCAGUUUCCUUCCCGAACUCAACCUAAAUAUAACUGUUGCUGCACUGCUUUCUGGAUCUACAGACACAGCUAUUCAAUGGGGGUAAGAGGCAAAUGGAACUUCAGAAGCCUCUUUGUACAGAGUAACCACUUAACUGUUGAUCAGUGUAACAGCUUAAAUAGGACAACAUCAAGUGGAACAAGGAUGAGUUUGUGCAGAAGAGGAAAUAGUUCUAAAGAACAUGAAGAGAAAAAUGCAAGUGGAAAAAAAAAAAAAAAAAGGAAUGGUGAAAGAAAUGAACAAAAUAAACCCAAUUGUUUAAAAAGAAAGUUUAUUUCCAAACUGACAGCAAAUAAGAAAAGGAAGUAUUGAAUAAAUGUGCAACUAUUAACAAAAUGUGUAGCUGCUGUAAAAGGACCACAUAUUCAAGCUUCUACAUAUGUGCCAUCCUGAAACUGCAUGAGUUGUUUUUGCUGUAUUUUGAUGGGACUAUCAAUAGUUGUACUGAAGAAAAGUUGAUUUUCCCCAAGCAUGAGAAUGGUAACUCAGCCACCCUGCCCACCAUGAACAAGGACUAACAUUACCAGGCCUAUCAACAGCCUAAAAAAAACACACUACAGAGCCCAUUUCCAUAGGGAGUACAUUAGCAGAGGAGAUUGUCACAGGAAGAAGAGAAGUGAGCAGGGAAGAGAGGUGAAGUGGUCUUCUACUGCACUAUAUUCUUGGAGCCCUAAUUAAGUUCAGCCCUAAUUCUUGGAAGCUCAUUAAAUUGCACCUUUGAGCUUCUGUAGAUCACGCUAAUUAAAGAUCUGAUCCCAUGAAUAGAUGUGUACCCUGAUGUCCAGGCAACACUUACCUAGCAAUAGUGCAAUGUCUACCAAUUCAAUUUAUUUUCAGAAUAUAUUUGCAAUUUUUUAAAAAACUACUUGCUUUUGAAUUAAGAAGUGUAUCAGUCCAGUGCACUCAAGAUUUCUGCUACCAGAAAUGCUUAUCUGGGGUAGCACACUCUGACUGAUAACCACCAGCUUUUAACUAGGAGUUUUCAAGCUCAAAGGGAAACAGUUCUCUUCUUCCUGGGUAGCAGGACACCCAAACAAUGAUGAAUGGGAAAGAAGAGAAACAAUGGCCAAUCUGUCUAGCUGUCAGAGGAAACUGCCACAGAAGGGAGUACAGUGCCUACUUGCCAGGAUUUCCUCCACUUACAAGUUCAUCUGCAGCCCCCCAAAACCACAGCGAUCAAAUUGGAAGAGUUCUGCCAAAAACUGGAUGAAACCCACCUGUAGAGCAGCCAGCAUAAUCUUGAAACUGGUUCAUUUUAUGAGAAGGAUAAACAAAGUGAAAAAGAAAAGGAAGGUCAGGUUGCUUCUAUGAAAAUUAGAAACUCCAGCAGCUUGUACUUGAUGCUGCCAGUCCUUUUACUCUUUUUAGCCCAUACUCCUCAUGUAGAUAGAACAUUUCUCAAUGAUGUUAAUUGCACUUCCUGGGUGAACACAAGAGCAAGAGAUGGAGGUGGACAACAGAAAGGGGAAUUUGACAGCCUCCUAUCAAAGAAGAAAUUCUGGGCCCAAAAUAAAGGAAUUCAAUGAAAUGAUCUGAAAAUGCUCAGAAAGAAGUUAUAUUAAAAAAAAAACCAAAACAACAACAACAACAAAACACAGAUUUUGCCAAGCAGUCAGGCACAAUUCCUCAAUGUUUGUCUAUAACAACGAAAGCAUACACUCUUCUUCAGGCCUUAAUGACACCCUUUCUGCAUGCAUUUCUGCCUCUGGUUACAAAGAAAACAGGAGAACAAUCUGAUCCUGUGAGUUGUAUUUUCUUGAAAUUUGCAGAGUGCUAUACUGCACCCCUGUAGUUUGAAGAGAGAAUGAUUGCCAUGACUGAAAACAACAGGUACAAUGAGAAUGUCCCUCUCCUGGGCCAAAGUGAAGUUAAAAUCAUUGUAAUAGAAGAUUAAAAGCCUCAAAAUGUCCCAUGCACAUAAACAAAAGUCACUAGUAGUUUACUGGCAUCUCUAACCUUUGUCUUUUUCCCCUCCAGGAAACAUACAAAAUCAUGAAAGUACUCUGCCUUUUCUCAAACUUACUGCAACUUAUUUUAAUAAUCUCUUGUACGUAUCAUUUAAUGUAAGAUAUCUUGCAAGCAUAGAGAUGCAGAUAAGCAGAUAAAAACUUAAGACCCUUUUUUUUUUUCCAUGCAAUCAUUUGUGCUCAAAAACUAUCAAUGUUUUGUCAUUCUUCUGAGUAAAAUGCUUCAAAUAAUUUAAACAGAACAAAAUGAAUCCAGACAAAGUCUCUUAGUUCUUCAAAACCUGAGCUGGAUGGGAUCUAAAAGGGUCACAUUUCCAUUAAAGAAAAACACACAGACUAUGCAGGACAAAAUGCUUCCUUGUUGAUAUAAGCUUGUAUGUUUGUUGGGAUAAUUAAGUCUGCUUUGAAUAUAACUCUUCAAUUGGAAAAGUCUGCUAUCAUUUUAACAGUGGGGUCAGGUGCCAGCCAAUUACUAUUAAAGGUGAUAGUCUAAUUGCACUGUCAGAUAUUCCUUCGGCCAAGUGAACUUUGCUGGCAAAGUAACAUCAAAGGAACAUCAAAGGAUCAUCAAAACUACUGAAAACACCUAAGCUACAUUUUAAAUACACAACAUGACAACAAAAAAUGCUGAUUUAUAUGACUUAUUUUAUGGAGCAUAGUUUACUGUUUAAGGCACAGGAACUAAGACUGGCUUUUGGUCUCCUGUCAUACAGGUUCAGACUUCAGAAGGCUUUUAUCCAAUGGAACAAAAUAUACUUUUGGGAGAUCCACUAUUCAAAUAUAUAGUGAUUUGCAAAAAUAGGAGCACAUUAUUAUCAACAAUGAACUGGAGACUGAAUUCAUGCAUUUGCAUCUGUGCAGACAAGGCACGUGUUAAUUCUGGUAUGUUUUUUGAGAAAGAAAUGAGAAAGAGUGAAAUAGUAUAUUUCUGAAGUCUCAAACAACUGUAAAUAGCUGAAUAGAAUACAAGUUAUCCUUCAAUUCUAGUUUUCCAGUUUUCUAGAAAUUUAGAGCUUGCUCCUUCAGAAAUCAUUCUCCUGCCUGCCCUACUCUUAAUUUCACUUGUGCUAUACAUGAAAAUUCUGCUGAUAUCUGUGCUGCACAUCUUAUUGUUACCUUUCAAAGACAAAUUAAGUGACUGGGAUGGGUUCAUCAUAGGGCACUUAUGCAUUCUUGUUAAGCUGGAGCUAUGGUCACCCUAAGGCAUGCAGCCUGAGUUUAACAGAUGAAGCUGUUAAGUUGCUGGAUUCAAACAGGUCUUCUUCACAUCCUUACUCUGCCGUCUUUCCUAGUGGUUAAAACCGAUUAAAUAGCUUCUCAGCUCUGCCUCCUGAGAAGUAUGGAGCACACAGGGAUUUUUCAGUAUUGUAGUACAACAUGGCUGUCAGAGAAGCCAGAACAUCCCCACAAUUUAAUGAAGGUUAGGAACUAGAGUAAAGUCUAGGAAAAGCUGCCCUCCAAGCUCCUACAUUUUGUUUAUCUGGACUAUUAGCUUUCUCUUCUGUUGUAUGCUAGGCAGACAUCACAUGUCCUUUUUCCUGCCAUACUGUGUCUGAGUAUCUCUGGUAUCAGUCAGCUGACUGGUCGCUGAGAUUACUUAUACUAUCAGGGAUUAUGGCUUUUUACAACUUUGUUGUCAGGCUUCAGGAUUUACUCUUCUAAAAACACAGUCUUGCAGCUUCAGCCUAUUCAUGUGUGCUUUGGCAUUAAGCUCUUUAGGGUAAAAACUGUCCCAUUGUUAUGCACAAUGCCUCUGGCACGAAAGGUCAUCAGCCUGGAGCACCUCUAAUAAUUGCCUCUCUGUUUUUACUAUCUGGAGAGGCACUGAACUACUGUAAAGAAAAGCAAAUCCCCCAGUGCUGACUGCCAAGUCCAGAGAUGGCUUGUUUUUUUUUCCUUUAAGGAAUGAGUUAGGGCUGAAAUUCAAGUCUGAAAGAAAACUGUGACUGGGAAUGCUGGAAAUGUGGGAGCCAAUUUCUAAGAGGAAGGGCUGUUCUACUUCAUAGGAUCCCUCUUUUACAAUUCCUUCUUCCAGUGUGUCACUCCCUUUGAAACAGAACAUUCAAAAAGAGAAGUAAAAUCUAUGGCAAAAUAUAAGAGACUUCUACUGCCUAACACCCAGUCCUUUUGGGCAUGUUCUUUGCUUCCUCCUCCUGAAACCCUUUUCACCAAGAUCCCUACCUCACCCAAUUUCAACUUGUGUGAUCUCCACUACAGAACCUUCCAAAGGUGAUAUAUGCUCACAAGAAGGUUCCCUUCCAUGUCCUGGGAAACCAGCAGAAAACCACAGAGGACUCUCCACUCUGAAAACAAGUCUGUUAUACAUACAAGGCCUCACAGUGAAAAUGCAUAUAAUCAUCUCUGGUUCUCUUUCAAGACUAAACAGUCUAAGUCAGUCUGGCUUGUUUAUUCAGUAUUUAAGUAUGUUUUCCUUUAUAGGAGUAGCUAUGGGGGAAGCACAACCUUUGACUGCAGGAGUUUUGCAAGAACAACUGUGCUUCAGAAUGCUGAAAAUAACGACUGGCACUGAUUACUUCACAUACUUCAGUCAAUCGCGGUCAAAACGAACCAGUCUGAAAUCUGAUGAAAGGAUAACAAGGAAAUUUACUAUAUAAUCCUAAUUCCGUAUUCCUGAAUAUAC